rnacentral:rRNA from 1 species
GACGAACGCUGGCGGCGUGCCUAAUACAUGCAAGUUGAGCGCUGAAGGUUGGUACUUGUACCAACUGGAUGAGCAGCGAACGGGUGAGUAACGCGUGGGGAAUCUGCCUUUGAGCGGGGGACAACAUUUGGAAACGAAUGCUAAUACCGCAUAAAAACUUUAAAAACAAGUUUUAAGUUUGAAAGAUGCAAUUGCAUCACUCAAAGAUGAUCCCGCGUUGUAUUAGCUAGUUGGUGAGGUAAAGGCUCACCAAGGCGAUGAUACAUAGCCGACCUGAGAGGGUGGUCGGCCACAUUGGGACUGAGACACGGCCCAAACUCCUACGGGAGGCAGCAGUAGGGAAUCUUCGGCAAUGGACGAAAGUCUGACCGAGCAACGCCGCGUGAGUGAAGAAGGUUUUCGGAUCGUAAAACUCUGUUGGUAGAGAAGAACGUUGGUGAGAGUGGAAAGCUCAUCAAGUGACGGUAACUACCCAGAAAGGGACGGCUAACUACGUG